rnacentral:tRNA from 1 species
GCGGGUAUCGUAUAAUGGCGAUUACCUCAGCCUUCCAAGCUGAUGAUGCGGGUUCGAUUCCCGCUACCCGCUCCA